UAACAAAAAAAUCUAAUGAGAAGGGCAUGGCAACCCCCUCCAGUACUGUUGCCUGUAGAAUCCCAUGGACAGAGGAGCCUGGCGGGCUACAGUCCAUGGGGUCACACCAAGUCGGACACUACUAAAGGGACUUGGCACGCACAC